rnacentral:rRNA from 1 species
ACGAACGCUGGCGGCAUGCCUAAUACAUGCAAGUCGAACGAAGAGUGCUUGCACUCUUAGUGGCAAACGGGUGAGUAACGCGUGGGAAUCUACCCCUCGGUGGGGGAUAACUAAGGGAAACUUUAGCUAAUACCGCAUAUUCUUAGCAAUAAGGAAAGAUUUAUUGCCGAGGGAUGAGCCCGCGUCAGAUUAGGUAGUUGGUGAGGUAAUGGCUCACCAAGCCUUUGAUCUGUAGCUGAUUUGAGAGGAUGAUCAGCCACACUGGGAUUGAGAUACGGCCCAGACUCCUACGGGAGGCAGCAGUAAGGAAUAUUGGACAAUGGGGGAAACCCUGAUCCAGCAAUGCCGCGUGAAUGAAGAAGGCCUUAGGGUUGUAAAGUUCUUUCGCUUACGAAGAUAAUGACGGUAGUAAGAUAAGAAGGUCCGGCUAACUCUGU